rnacentral:lncRNA from 1 species
ACCACUUUAUAUUACAGAUGCUAACUCAAGAGAAGAACCACCACUGAUGACAAGUACUAGUAAAACACAUGAAAGGGACAAUGGCCUGCCAUAAACCAGCCAGCUACCUAUUACACUGCAGUAUUACUCCCGAACUAACUAUUUAACUUACAGUAGAUAAUACCUAUAAAAAAAGGAAUUUCAAAAAAAAAAAACUAGGACUACAAAACUGAAAAGCUAGCAGUACACAGGUUCAGCAUCCCAAAGCUCUGCUCCUCGUAGGUGAUCUCACCCAUCACAUGCUCAGGUUUGCUGGCUUGAAGCCGUACACUGCAACAAGAACAUGCAGAAAUCAGUUGAUACUGCAUCAUAGAGAGAGAGAUGGUUGGCACUAUCUUGCUCUUGAAACGUGCCAAUUUAUGCAACUAUUUCAAACAGAUCGAACCAGAUAGAUUCGUAGGAAAUAAUCCAGUUUAUAAACAAACUUGGUAAAAAAUUGUAACAAAAAUGUUGACACUGACGAUGAUGAACAAGUUUUUCAGAAGUGUUACCUCAUCUGUUCUGGAUGGGAUUCCAGCCGGACCUGGG